GACGAACGCUGGCGGCGUGCCUAAUACAUGCAAGUCGAGCGCAGGAAACUGACGGAACUCUUCGGAGGGAAGGCAGUGGAAUGAGCGGCGGACGGGUGAGUAACACGUAAGGAACCUGCCUCAAGGAUUGGGAUAACUCCGAGAAAUCGGAGCUAAUACCGGAUAGUUCAACGGACCGCAUGGUCCGCUGAUGAAAGGCGCUCCGGCGUCACCUUGAGAUGGCCUUGCGGUGCAUUAGCUAGUUGGUGGGGUAACGGCCCACCAAGGCGACGAUGCAUAGCCGACCUGAGAGGGUGAUCGGCCACACUGGGACUGAGACACGGCCCAGACUCCUACGGGAGGCAGCAGUAGGGAAUCUUCCACAACGGACGAAAGUCUGAUGGAGCAACGCCGCGUGAGUGAUGAAGGUUUUCGGAUCGUAAAACUCUGUUGUAAGGGAAGAACACGUACGAGAGGAAAUGCUCGUACCUUGACGGUACCUUACGAGAAAGCCACGGCUAACUACGUGCCAGCAGCAGCCGCGGUAA
rnacentral:rRNA from 1 species